rnacentral:lncRNA from 1 species
AUGUCUGUGUGCAGGGGAUGUGAGAAAUUGGAACGCUCCUACCAGCAAUGUUCUUUGCAGAUGCUUCACUGUGAUCCGCUGGAGGGGAGUCCGUGUCAUCAGAAGGUCUUCAGGAAUGGCCAUGAGCAAAGAUGUCCCACCUCAUGCCUACUUGCAUACAGCAGUUAUGGGCAGCCAAGGUGAUUCUUCUACUCUACUCAGUAUUAUCCAUAGCUGACCCUUGGAGCAGUCUGAAAAUGUGAUGAAACACUUUGCAGAUGAUGUUUACUGUGAAGCUGUCCAUAGAUUCCUUGUGAAAAGUUGUCUAUAUGGACAUUGCCAUUGAUACCCAUUAUCACUUCUUCGCAUCAUCUUUAUUUCCAGGAAAUAAAAUGGAAAGAAUUAUGGAAAAAUAAAAAACC